GUGUGUCGCCUCCCGAUCGGAACGCUACCCGCUGAGUUUAAGCAU
rnacentral:rRNA from 3 species